UUUUUUUUUGAAGUGAAAAUAGUAUUUGAAAAUUAGAAUUGUGUUUUGGUAUGAAUAUAAUUUUGGGCUGUUUUUGAAUUUUUGUAAGUGAUCUGAGUAAAAAUUUUGAAAAAUAACUUUUUGGUAUUUUUAAAAUUUUCGAAAAAUUUCAAAAUUUCAUCUUCAAGUGAAAAUUGAAAAUUUUAUGGCCAAACACUCAUUUCAAAAAAAAGUGAAAAAAUUCUUAUGUCCAAAUGGGCUCAUAGUUUGUUUUGAUUAGAACAAUUAUAAGAAUAUCUAUAUAUCUAUGUUGUUGUACAUAUGUCAACUACAUAACACCCACGACCGUUAAGUCACACUGGAGGAAAAGUGUGAAAACACUGUAGAUCCACAUAAUUUGGGAGAAUUUAAAAAAAAAAAUUAUAUAUAUAUAUAUAUAUAUAUAUAUAUANNNNNNNNNNNNNNNNNNNNNNNNNAAUCUGAAAGGUCUUUUUUUUUAAAAUCCUUAUCCCCACUUAUAAAUAUAGCCCACUCCUUUAUUUCUCGUUUUCAACUUAUUACUUCUUUAUAUAUUUUUCUCCCUAACUUUUUCCAUCAAAGAAACAAAACUUUCUCUAGAAAAUUCCUCAUUUUCUCAGAAAAUCCCAAAACCCACAAAAAUGGCGAUGGUGAAAGUGAACUCUUUCACCAUUCUGUUGAUCUCUUCGAUUUUCCUCAUCGGAGCGGCAGCGGCAGCAGCUACUGGAGCCCACGAGCUCGGCUUUUAUCCAAUGACGCUGUCCAUGACGUCAUCGGCUUCAUCGAUCUAUGAGGGUUCGAUCGGUGAGUUCUUGGCCGAAAACGGAAGCGACGAGGAGUUUUCGAUGGAGUCUGAGAGCACCCGGCGCAUAUUAGCGUACCGUAGGAGAUACAUUAGCUACGGUGCGCUGAGCAGGAACAGAGUUCCGUGUUCGAGAAGAGGUGCUUCGUACUACAAUUGCCGUCCCGGAGCGCAGGCGAAUCCUUACCGACGUGGAUGCAGUGCCAUCACGCGAUGCCGCCGUUGAAAAAAAAGUAAAGUUUGAAAUUUACUGUAUUUAAAUUUUUUUACCGCGCACUGGUAAAAGUUAAAAUUCUUUUUGAGGUUUGUACUAUUGUGAUCUGUUAUCGAGGAUGGUUUGUGGGUUGUGGCAUAAAGUAAGGCUUGUUGUUACUUGUAUUUGGGAAUUGUGGUAGAGAACAUUCUUGUAGUUUGUUGUAUGAUGUUGUAAUAUUAAUUUAUCAUUCCACUUAAUAUAUUUAUUUGAAAUAAUGUUUUAGCACUUGGUAUUCGUUUUUGUUUUUUGGAUGAUUAAGUUGAAGUAAUUUGUCUUGGCAAGUGAAUUUUGAAGUAAAUCUAACUGUACUUUUUCUACUGGAAGAUUCCUGUCUUGUUCGAAAAUGUGCCUUACAUUUAGGUUUGUACUUUUUUGAGGUUAUGUGAGAACAGUACAUGUGUUAUGUGUAAUAUACAACUAAUAGCUCUGCUGUUUCCAUUUAAUUCUCUAAUAAUUGGCCUACUUAAAAAUAUCUAGUUCACUACUCCCUUUAUCCCAGUUCACGCGUCUACUGUCCAAAAAAAUAUUACAUUUUCUUAUUUAGAAAUAAUUAACUUUAAUUUUUUUAUUUUAUCCUUAUUGAGAUAUGGUCAAAGAAAUAUUUAUAACUAGUUUUAAACCACAAGUUUUAAAAGUCUUUUUUUCUUUCAACUUAAUUGCGAGUAAAACACCACCACAUAAAUUGUUUUAGAUUAUAAGUUACAAAAGUUUUUCCUUUUUUUAUUGCUAGUUAAACACGGCCACAGAAAUUGGGUAAGGGAGUGCUAUAUUGUUUUAUUUAGUGGAAGCUUGAGCCCGGAUGAACCUUUACCACAAUAGGUGGCUAAUACCUAUCUGGUCCUUAAUUUAAGGUUUGAUACAACUAAAAUAUUUUAUGUUCAUUUUUAAAAUUUGGGGGGGUUAAGGAGCUCGUAACAUGAGAAAGAGAAAGGAAAAAUACUUGUGUGAAUCAAAAUUUGCAAUCCUAGCAUCACCAAACUGUAUUAUUUUCUGAGGCUUCAGUUACUCAAAUUUUCUAAUUCCAUCCAAAGAACUUUCCCUUACUUGCAGGAAAAAGAAUGACUUCAAAAUACAGCAAGAUUGCAAAAAAGAAAGAGAAUUAAAAUGUCAUAAUGUUGGCUGUUGAAUUCAUAUUUCAUUGAGCCUUAUGUAUCUUUAAAUGAAAAUUAUGUGAAAUUAUCUUUUAAGUGAACAAAUUGUGUAUAUAUUUCUUUACUAAACUCUAGAAAUAAUUAACCUAUUAAGCCAACCACAACACAAUUAUCAGUUUUCCGUUUUCAACGGAGAGAGAGACGGUAAGGGAGAACAUAGAAAUCGAUUAUCUACAUAGUAAUAAUUCAACUAACAUAAAUGAUGAAAAUGUGCAAUUCAGCAUCAAUGCAGGAAGGCAUUAAAAAUAUCUAAUUGUGUGUACCUAAAAGAGAGAAGGGAAAGGGGAGAAAGAAAAGAAUAAGAGACACUCUCGUAUAGUCAUAAUUUGAUUGUUGGGACAAGACGACAAGUGUUGUAAUCACAUCCUCAUCAAAAUUUCAAACUUCAACGACUCACGAGUUACUCUCUUUUUUUCCCCCUUACACAGACAAGACAUACACAAGUGAAUCCUGUCAUUGUCAUCUUUUAUAUAUCCCAUUUACAACUUGGAUCCACCCAUUUGGCAUCUUCCUUUAUUCGCACAUCCUUUUCUCUACAGUUGUCAACCAUCUCUUCCAUUUUCACAUUUUAUCCAAAUAUUUUUAUAUAAUAGUAGCAAAUAUAGUUAAAAAUUAGAAAGAAAAAAGAAUAAUUUUAAUAGAAAUGCAGCACCUAACUAGGAGAAACGAGCACAAUCCACCCCUUUCUUCACUCUAUUUAAGUACUUUUCUCUGCCCAAAUUCACCCCUUUAGAGGUUCAUGAACUAUUCAAAGCCUCGGGGUAGCAGUAAUUUGCUUUAUGCUACGUGAAACUAUACAAAGGAACAAGAAGAUAACUAUUUCGCACUCACAUUUUACCCACAUAUUUACUGUGUAACUGCGAUCCUUUUGAUGGCAAUAAGUUAAGAACUAAAAUUCUAUACAAAUUCACAGCAACUUAAACGCAGUAAUAUAAUCCCAUCGUCCUUUUAAAGAGAGUAAUAGGAUAUGGCACCAAAACUAUUAGUACUAAUAAGAUACUCAUUCACUCUACUUUCUACCUUUCUCUACUCAACCCACACUCACAUUAUAAAAGGGAAAGAGACGAUAUUCCGAAGAAGUUGACAAAGAACGACAGCUAGUUCACGGAAGAAUAAUAACUUCUCUACGUUUAACUAUUAGAGAUAAUAAUCAGUAGAUUAAAGCAAAAGAGGGCUUUGACAAGAAAACUGGCCCUCGUUUGAAGAGGGCCUAAAAUCUCAACAAUAUAACCCUUCGUUAUACACCCUUUAACAUACUAUCAUAAAAGCAUAAUUUGAUAACCAAAUCAAUGACCAAUAGCACACGUCUCUCUUUCCAGAACCAGAGAAUCCAGGUACAGAAUGCAGCUAUCAAAACCAAAAGGCAUAACAUCCAAAAAAGGAUAACACUCUUUUAAAGCUAAACAAUUGUUUGAUAAACCACCUCGAUGUAUCGUCAGUUACUUUAU
rnacentral:lncRNA from 1 species